UUGUGACCAUAGAAAUGCUUUCUUGGUAUCAAAGGGAUCUGCUUCUCUUUGCAGUUCCCCUCCUCAGAGGCCGGGCUGGGAACAGCGGGGUUUGGCACGGUCCUCUCAUCCUGCUUUUCUUCUUCAGUAACUACUUUGGCUGACUUCUUUCCAACUCCUUUCUCGAAAUCCCCACCAGUCCUGACGCAGACCCUCCGUGGCUGGUGGAUGCCAAGUAUCAUUUGGAGAUGGCUGGGGAUGUGCAGAUUUCUCACUUGAGCUGCUUAUGCAGGGUCUGCACCGUCCUGACAGCAAUCGAAGGACUUGGCCACCACUGCGGAGCUCCAGUCUGGUGCUGGCGUGAAUGCUCAGCACCCAGACGAGCUGCUUUCAUCCUGGAAACCCUUCCUGAGCCCCUGGGAAGCAUCUGGCACUGUUCUAGCUGCGGAGGAUGCAGCAGUGAAGACGUCCAAAGUCCCUGCCCUUGAGCUAAUACAUGCUGAUCACCAGCAAUCCCAGACAUUGAAUCUGCAUUUCUUCAGACAGUUCUGACCAAGACCUUGCAAAACCUAGGAAGCUUCAAGCCCCACUUUAGAGGUGUUUGCUUUCUGAAGGCACCAGCUCAUCUUGGGUCACACACAUGUGCACCUGCAUACACCCACUCAUAGAAUUGCUGGUAUUCAUUAUGCUCAAUGCUUUUGAUCAGUCUUUCUUUAUGUUUUACACUUGCAAAAUUGGACCCAGGCCACCUCACCCCAACAACACAUCUGAAGAUAGCCAGGAGUUUGCAGGCUCCAACUUGAAAAGAUACUCCUCUCAGUUCAGGGCUUGGCAAAUUGUGAUCUGAUUGUUUUUUUUUUUGUAAAUAAAGUUUUA